AGACCUCUAUCCGGGAAAAGA
rnacentral:rRNA from 1 species